UACGAAGGGGACUAGCGUUGUUCGGAAUCACUGGGCGUAAAGCGCACGUAGGCGGAUGUGUCAGUCAGGGGUGAAAUCCCGGGGCUCAACCUCGGAACUGCCUUUGAUACAGCACGUCUCGAGUCCGGAAGAGGUGGGUGGAAUUCCUAGUGUAGAGGUGAAAUUCGUAGAUAUUAGGAAGAACACCGGUGGCGAAGGCGGCCCACUGGUCCGGUACUGGACGCUGAGGUGCGAAAGCGUGGGGA
rnacentral:rRNA from 1 species